AACGCACAUUGCACUCCUUGGUAUUCCGAGGAGUAUGCCUGUUUCAGUAUCAUGAGCACUCUCACACCUAACCUUUGGGUUUAUGGCGUGGAAUUGGAAUGCGCCGACUGUCAUGGUUGGCCCUUCUAAAAUGUAGUUCUUGGCUGUCACCUAAUACAGCAGUUUGGCCUAAUAGUUUUGGCAUUCAUUGUCAAAUCUUUGGCUAACAUUUGCUCCAGGAGUCAGUCUUGAUAAUACAGAAAACUCAUUCAAAUUUUGACCUGAAAUCAGGUAGGGCUACCCGCUGAACUUAA
rnacentral:misc_RNA from 1 species